rnacentral:rRNA from 1 species
UACGUAGGGGGCAAGCGUUGUUCGGAAUUACUGGGCGUAAAGGGCGCGUAGGCGGCACAGCAAGUCGGGAGUGAAAGCCCGGGGCUCAACCCCGGAAUGGGCUUUCGAAACUGCUGAGCUAGAGUACAGAAGGGGCAACCGGAAUUCCCAGUGUAGCGGUGAAAUGCGUAGAUAUUGGGAAGAACACCUGAGGCGAAGGCGGGUUGCUGGGCUGAUACUGACGCUGAGGCGCGAAAGCCAGGGGAGCAAACGGG